rnacentral:rRNA from 1 species
CCUCCUUCUGGCUGCAGUGGGGAAUAUUGCACAAUGGGGGAAACCCUGAUGCAGCGACGCCGCGUGAGUGAAGAAGUAAUUCGUUAUGUAAAGCUCUAUCAGCAGGGAAGAAAAUGACGGUACCUGAGUAAGAAGCCCCGGCUAACUACGUGCCAGCAGCCGCGGUAAUACGUAGGGGGCAAGCGUUAUCGGGAUUUACUGGGUGUAAAGGGAGCGUAGACGGCAGUGCAAGUCUGGAGUGAAAGGCGGGGGCACAACCCCCGGACUGCUCUGGAAACUGUACGGCUGGAGUGCAGGAGGGGGAAGUGGAGUGCUGGGUGUGGCGGGGAUAUGGGUAGAU